GAUGAACGCUAGCGGGAGGCCUAACACAUGCAAGCCGAGCGGUAUUGUUUCUUCGGAAAUGAGAGAGCGGCGUACGGGUGCGGAACACGUGUGCAACCUGCCUUUAUCUGGGGGAUAGCCUUUCGAAAGGAAGAUUAAUACUCCAUAACAUAUUGAUUGGCAUCAAUUAAUAUUGAAAGCUCCGGCGGAUAGAGAUGGGCACGCGCAAGAUUAGCUAGUUGGUGAGGUAACGGCUCACCAAGGCGAUGAUCUUUAGGGGGCCUGAGAGGGUGAUCCCCCACACUGGUACUGAGACACGGACCAGACUCCUACGGGAGGCAGCAGUGAGGAAUAUUGGUCAAUGGGUGCAAGCCUGAACCAGCCAUCCCGCGUGAAGGACGACUGCCCUAUGGGUUGUAAACUUCUUUUGUAUAGGGAUAAACCUACCCUCGUGAGGGUAGCUGAAGGUACUAUACGAAUAAGCACCGGCUAACUCCGUGCCAGCAGCCGCGGUAAUACGGAGGGUGCAAGCGUUAUCCGGAUUUAUUGGGUUUAAAGGGUCCGUAGGCGGACUUAUAAGUCAGUGGUGAAAGCCUGUCGCUUAACGAUAGAACUGCCAUUGAUACUGUAAGUCUUGAGUAUAUUUGAGGUAGCUGGAAUAAGUAGUGUAGCGGUGAAAUGCAUAGAUAUUACUUAGAACACCAAUUGCGAAGGCAGGUUACCAAGAUAUAACUGACGCUGAGGGACGAAAGCGUGGGGAGCGAACAGGAUUAGAUACCCUGGUAGUCCACGCCGUAAACGAUGCUAACUCGUUUUUGGGCUUUAGGGUUCAGAGACCAAGCGAAAGUGAUAAGUUAGCCACCUGGGGAGUACGCUCGCGAGAGUGAAACUCAAAGGAAUUGACGGGGGCCCGCACAAGCGGUGGAUUAUGUGGUUUAAUUCGAUGAUACGCGAGGAACCUUACCAAGACUUAAAUGGGAAUUGACAGCUUUAGAAAUAGAACUUUCUUCGGACAAUUUUCAAGGUGCUGCAUGGUUGUCGUCAGCUCGUGCCGUGAGGUGUUAGGUUAAGUCCUGCAACGAGCGCAACCCCUGUCACUAGUUGCCAUCAUUCAGUUGGGGACUCUAGUGAGACUGCCUACGCAAGUAGAGAGGAAGGUGGGGAUGACGUCAAAUCAUCACGGCCCUUACGUCUUGGGCCACACACGUAAUACAAUGGCCGGUACAGAGGGCAGCUACACAGCGAUGUGACGCAAAUCUCGAAAGCCGGUCUCAGUUCGGAUUGGAGUCUGCAACUCGACUCUAUGAAGCUGGAAUCGCUAGUAAUCGCGCAUCAGCCAUGGCGCGGUGAAUAAAUUCCCGGGCCU
rnacentral:rRNA from 1 species